GUGUCAGCAGCCGCGGUAAUACGUAGGCAGCAAGCGUUGUUCGGAGUUACUGGGCGUAAAGAGUGCGUAGGCGGUCCUGUAAGUUUGGUGUGAAAUCUCCCGGCUCAACUGGGAGGGUGCGCCGAAGACUGCAGGGCUUGAGUAUGGGAGAGGUAAGCGGAAUUCCUGGUGUAGCGGUGAAAUGCGUAGAUAUCAGGAGGAACACCUGUGGUGUAGACAGCUUACUGGACCAUAACUGACGCUGAGGCACGAAAGCGUGGGUAGCAAACAGGAUUAGAAACCCCAGUAGUCC
rnacentral:rRNA from 1 species